rnacentral:lncRNA from 1 species
CACAUAUUAGAGCUCAGUUUGUGCUAGCUUCAGACAAGCCUUACUCUGAUUCAGGUAAAAAGAGAGGUUAUGAUGCACAGACAGGAAGUGAGGGACACAAUGAACAUGGUUAUGAUGCGCAGAAGGGACCCAAGUGGUCCUGGUUACAAUGCAUAGACAGAGACCGGGACAUGGUUAUGAUACACAGAAAGCACCUGACUAUGAUGGAUACAGAGGAUUUGUAUAUGAUGCACAACCAAAGUCUCCAGCUAUGAUCCGUCAUCCAAAGGCACUGUUGCAACUCAAGGACAGGCAACUCAAGGGUUAUCCAACUCCACCUGGUCAUGUUGGACGGGGAUAUGAUACAACAUCACACGUUGGAAAAAGUGACAAAACAGUAAGACCAUAGGGGAGGAUUCAAGCGCAAAAGGGAUAAGUGCACUCCAAAUUACGUGAACCAAUUUGUCAAUUUGUCGUCCCAAUCUCAGAAAGGGAACCAACUCUGCCACAUCUGUUAGAGGCAGAGUAGUACUAUUUUUCAGCUAUCCACAAACGAGUCGCUCAGGUAUAUGAACUAAUAAAGAUUUGAGAUUAUCUCAAUUGAAAUAUUAGAAGAGAAAUGAACGAGAAGGUUCUAGAAUGAGAGCUCCAUCUGAGAGAAAAACCGAGCUAAGAUAUUUCUCAAAUCAUGAUGGAUACAAUGAGUUUUGAUCUGUAUAUAUACACUACAACUAAAGCUAACUAACUUUACUAACUCUUCCGUUAAAUCUAUAACUCCCAAUCCAAUAAUUAGUUAUAACUAACUAUCAGUCUAAACUCACUAGCUCACGUGCUGGUCACGUGCCAUUCCUUUCUCAAUACUCCUCCUCAAGCUAGGUGGUACAAAUAGAUUGAGCACUCCUAGCUUGCUCAUCAGGUACUCAUGUUGUGAUCUUUCCAGGGCCCUUGUAAACAAGUCUGCGUCUUGGUCAUUAGACAUUACAUACUUGGUUCUGACAAUGCCUUGCUGAAUUCUCUCCCGAUGAAAUGCAGAUCUAUCUCUAUAUGGUUUGUACGCUCGUGAAAUAUGGGAUUUGCAGCAAUUUGAAUUGCUGUUUUGCUGUCACAAUGCAACUCCACUAGCAAUUCAACCUCUACACCCAACUCUUUGCAUAGUCCUGUUAGCCAUAAGAUCUCCGAAACUCCUGCUGCCAUGCUCUUGUACACUGCUUAUGUUGAGCUUCUCGAUACUGUACACUGCUUCUUUGAUUUCUAGGAUACUAGAGAACUUCCUAGCUUCAUCACAUAUCCUGUUACUAAUCUUCUAGAGACUGGGCAUCACUGGGCAUGAUGCCUAGUCAGCAUCCCGUAAAGCUGUGAGCUUUGUAGACAGUUUGGAGCUCAUCAUCAAGCCUAAUCCUGGAGCACCUUUAAUGUACCUGACAACCCUAACUGCUGCUUCCAUGUGUGACUUCUUUGGACAGUGCAUGAACUGAUUUAACACAUGUACUGCAUAGCAUAUGUCUGGCCUUGUCAUGGUGAGGUACAACAGCUUCCCCACCAGCCUUUGAUAUGGUCCUGCAUCUGCCAACUUCUCAUCUUCUUUUCAGUUUGUGUAUUGAUCGUAUUCCAUAGUAAUAAAUCUCUGAUUGCAUUCCAUUGGUGUAUUUGCUGGUUUUGAUCCUGCCAGUCCAAGUUCAGUGAUCAAUUCCAUUGUAAACUUCAUUUGGUUCAUCAAUAUCCCUUCUUUGGACCUUGCUAUUUUAAUUCCAAGAAAAAAACUUUAAUUCCCCUAAGUCUUUAAUUUUGAAAUUGCACUGCAAUAUGGACUUAUCAGACACUGAUCAUUCCCGGUUAUGAGAAUAUUAUCUACAUAUACUAGAAUGAUCACUAACUUUGUGCCUUGUUUCCUUGCGAACAAAGAAUAAUCAAAAUGGCUCUGCACAAAACCUGAACUGAGUAGUGCCUCAGUCAAUUUCAGAUUCCAUUGUUUGGAAGCUUGCUUCAAACUAUAAAGGGAUUUAUAUAGCCUACAUACUUUCUCCCCCUGGCUUGAAAAUCCCUGAGGUAUGCACACAUAGACUUCUUUAGUGAGAUUCCCUUGGAGAAAUGCAUUGUAAAUAUUCAUCUAGUGCAAAUUCCAAUUGUUUGCUGCUACUAAGUCUAGGACAACACUCACUGUCACCAUCUUGACUACAGGAGAAAAAGUUUUUUGGUAGUCUAACCCCUCUACUUGAUUGUAUCCUUUUGCUACUAGUCUGCCUUGUAUCUUUCAAUCUCUCCAUUGGCUCAAUACUUUAUCUUGAAUAUCCAUUUACACCCAAUAGGAACCUUUCCUGCUGGUAAGUCUACCAAUGUCCAAGUUCCAUUUUCUUUGAGUAUAGUCAACUCUUGGUUUAUAGCUUCAAUUCAUUUGGAAUAUGCUGCAGCUUCUUCAUAGCUCACAUACUCUCUUAUGAUGGUAAUUUUGGAUAGGUAAGACUGAUAUUUGGCUGACACACCAGCAUGACUCAAGUAGCUUUGCAUUGAAUACUUGUAAGGAUGUUUCCCAGCAGAACCUGUCUAGGACCCAUUGCAGACAUAAUCUUGCAUCCACACACGCUCUUUGACAGUCCUGGAUGAUUUUCUGAGCUGACUAUCUGUGUUAUUGAGUGUAGUUUCUUUUGAAAAAGACUGUCUGAGGCUGUGUAUCUUCAAAAGGCAAUGAAUGUGGUGAUGAUAGUUGUUCAUCUGCAAUAGGUGAUGCUUCUUGAGAGGGUGUUCCCUCAUCUAGUGGUCCUGCUAAUCCUGGAUCAUCACCACUAUUAGCAGGUGCAUUAUCACUACUAGCAGGUGAGUCUAUCACACUAUUGGAAAAAGUUGUAGCUUCCCUUCCUUUAGCAAUUGAAAGGGAAAUAUGUGUUCCAUGAAUCUGACAUCCCUGCUGACAAAGAAAGUGUUAGUUAAAAUGUUAUAUAGUAUGUAACCCUUUUGGGAUGAUCCAUCAGUACAGCCCCAACUGAUCUGGCUGAAAAUUUAUCUCAUUCUCCUAUUGUUUUAGCAAAGCAUAAACAACCUAUAGUUCUCAUAUGCUGCAAUGAUGGUGCUCUCCCAUACAACACCUCAAAGGAUGAUUUUCCUGACAACACUGAUAAUGGAAGCGUGUUAAUUACAUAAACUGCUGCCUGCACACACUCCCCCCAAAACUUAAGAGGCAAAUGACCCUGCAGUUUAAUGGCUCUAUCCACUUCCAGUAUAUGUCUGUGUUUCCUUUCCACAAUCCUAUUUUGCUGUGGGGUCUGGACACAGGAACUCUGAUGGAUGAUUGCAUUAGAUUGAAACAAACUGUUGCAUUCAGAAUUAAAAAACUCAGAUCUAUUAUCACUUCUUAAGACUUUCAUUGUUACAUCAAACUGAGUCUUUAUUAAGGCUAGAAAUUGUCUCAAGCAUAUAACCACAUUACUCUUAAGCCUCAACAAGUAAAUCCAUACCAUUAUACUACAGUCAUAUACUAUAGUAAGAAACAAUUUAUGUCCACUAUGAGUUGAAACUCUAUAUGGACCCCAUACAUCUACAUGUAUCAAUUGAAAAGGCUUAAUUGAUCUAUUUGUACUCUUUGAGAAAGGCAAUCUUCCUUGUCUAGCUAAAGGAUUGAUUGUGCAUUCCUUUAUUCUAUCACCACCAGUCUUGAACUUCAUGUUUGGAAUUUAUUUCACUACUUUAUCUGGAGCAUGUCCAAAUCUUCCAUGCCAUACUCCCAAGUCCUCCUCCUUUAUAGAAUCAUUAUGUAGGUGUAUAGCUACAACCUUAGCUUCAAUUCUCCAGUGCUGCAGGUUGUACAGACUAUCCAGUUCCUUACCAAUCCCCUUUACCUUUCCACUGUGAAGGUCUUGUAUUAUCCAAAAAUCAGGAUAAAAGGAUAUGAAGCAUCUUACGUCCCUUGUAAGUUUGGAAACAGACAACAAGUAGUAUUUAAAAUCUGAAAUGUAAUACACUUUCUUAAUGAUGCCACUUUCUCUAGUGCGUGCAAUGUCUAGUGAGGUGCCAUCAGGUAAGUACACCUUUGGUUCAUUUCUUAUGCUACCAGUGUCUAUCUUAUCAAGCUAUUCUCUGGUGUGAACUAUAUGAUUGGUUGUACCAGAAUCUACUAUCCAAUUUUCAUUCUUAGUGAUAGAAUUCGUAGUUGUACCUGCAAAGUGCUUCAUGUUAUCACCUGUAUCCUUAUUGAUCGGCUUUAGGAUCUGGUCAUACUGUUCCUGAGUGAACAUGAUUUCCUGUCCUUGUGCUGGAUUUCCCACAGGUGUAUUCAUCACCUGCUGCCCCUCCCGUGACACUACAUUGACCAUUAUUUUUGUCAUUGACUGUUGUCCCUCUUGUGUUGUAGUAUUAAUCAUAGGUCGUUGAGGAAAACCAGUUACUUUGUUCCUCAUUUUGAAGUCAGAUGGGUACCAAUGUAUCUUGAAGCAGGUUUCUCUUGUGUGUCCUUUAUAAUUGCAGUAGUCACAUAACAAAUUGUUUCUUCUAGGCUUGUAAUUGUUUCCUGAGUUCACUCCUCCUUUAUUACUAAAUAAUGCUGUUUCAUCUGCUAUGUCAACGUGUUGUGAAAAUUUCCCAGGGAUCUUUGACUUUCUUUAGAAACUACUAUAGAAUAUGCCUUAUUCACAGUAGGCACUGAGAUCAUCAUUAAAAUUUGACUUCUAAGCUGUGCAUACGACUCAUUUAGCCCCGUUAAGAAUUGUAAUAACUUCUUAUACUCAAAAUGAUCAAAAUAAUUCUUAAAUUCUGGGCAAUCAUAACCAGGAUAAGGUAACAAUGCAUCAUACUCUUCCCAAAGAUCUGUCAAUUUUGAGAAAUAAGCAGAGACAAAAGAAAUUCCCUGUGUAAAAAGAAGAUGCGAGAGCCAUCCACCUUAUCAUACUUAUCCUUCAAAUCUUUCUAGACCUUAUGUGCACUUUAUUUAUACAUAAUUCUACUGGCUCACAGUAUUCAUAAUACAUGACAAAACUAUAGCAUUGCACUUCUCUUAAAGUUCAUGCAAAGAUCGAUCAAAUUUGUCCUUAGUACAUCGUCCAUCAACAAAACCUAGCUUACUCUUGCCAAUCAAGCCUAUUUUCAUUACUCCACAAUGCAUAGUAAUCAGUUCCAGUUAGCUCAAUUGAAAUCAAGGAGCUACCUGGAGUGUCACAUGGUUGUAGAUAAAAGGGAUGAUGAUGAUCUAUAGUCGUUCCAGUUCUGGUUCCAGUCGAAGUUUCUUCUCCAAUUGCCAUACCUAACAAAUUCACGUGAAUUAAGUCUUCGUUUUCACAAAGUACAGAAUAUCUAGUCACGGAUCGAAAAUCACAAACCCUAGCUCAAUUGAUCAAGAAAAUCACAAACAAUCGGUAACAAAAUGAUUCUAUAGAAAUCAGAAGAUGAUAAUCACAGUGAGCAUGAAUCUAUCUCCCGCGCUCUGAUACUAUAAUGAAGAUCUGAGAUUAUCUCAAUGGAAAUAUUAGAAGAGAAAUAAAUGAGAAGGUUCUAGAAUGAGAGCUCCAUUUGAGAGAAAAAC